CCUCACUGGAUGUACAGAUGGCUAAUUAAUUUAUUUGCACAUCGAUACAGAAACUCGAGUGUGAGGAAAUUGGGUGCGUUUUACAGAGGUGGUGAGAUAGAUGGCUGUUGUCAACAAAGAUAAUGAAAAACAGGCGAGAGAUUGGAGACUGGCGCAGACUGAAUCGACACCAAGAAGACAUUUAAAUUGGUGUUUGGAAGAAAUUCGAAUCGAGGAUCUGACGGCUGGAGAGAGAGAGAGAGAGAGAGGGGGGGGACCGCACUUCCACUCAGCAGUUGUUUAUUUUCAGCUGAGUACAUUGGGACAAUGUGAUAUUAUGUACCUUGCUUAAGAGUUCAACGCAGCACCCGAUCCAGCAAUCGAAUCCGUGACAUUAUGACCAUGAAUCUAAUACUCUUAACCACUACGUUACGCUCCUCCACAUAACACAAGGUAAAAAUGUAUUAUCCAUUAACUCAAUAGUAAACUAUAUGAGUUAGAUGUUUGAAAUAUUUUACGCUUAUCCAACGUCUGAUAGAUGAAUGAUAAAAAACAAAUAUCUGUAGAGCAUGUGAUGGUUUGGAAAUGUGGUAGACUCUUAGAAAUUGAAUCAAAAGCAUUAAUUUUUCAGUUACACAGACAAAGCCAAAUCUUUCUGACACAUGGCAGAGAAUAUAGAAAAUAAUCUGUGAACUGGGAGCUAUCAACUUUCUCUCUCUCUACCAGCUGUGACUCCACUGGUGCUGUUUAGCUUCCUUAAUUUCUAGCAGCAAUGACUGCCUACGUCGUUAGUAAUAUUACUACGGCUAAAACGGUACAUGAUUUGUGACGAAACAUUAUUUGUUGUAAAAGUAAAAUUAAUGGAUUUGCAGAAAGCAGGGAAUUAGAGAGAAUGAAGUAGCGGUUAGGAAGCAAAAGUUAGACAGUUUUGAAAACACCAUCUGCAUAGCCACACAACACCAAUGUUCAGAGUAAACUAUUGAAAAGUCCAUUUGUGAGGAUAUCUCAUCAAUAAUAAGAAAGCUGUUUCACCUGAUGCACGAACAUGAACGCGAGGGAGGAUCUAAUGAUAUUGACUGUUGGAAGCAAUAGCGGCGGAGGACGAUAGCAGGUAGCGAUUAAAGCAAAACAGGAAACUGUAAGAACUAGAAAAACAAAUAAAACGUGACUCAAUGCUGCCAAGGAAUGUAUCAUUAUAGUUUAAAAUAUAAACGUAUAUUGUAUCGCCGUAAAACGUUAACAGAUUUUAAAAGAUUACUUUUUAUUCAGUAAUAAUAACAAUGAUUCUUUCUAUUAACAACUCAAAGCCUGAAAUUUUUGAGGAGGGGAACUAGUCAAUUACAUCGACCACAGUACUUCACUGGUACUAAAGUUAUCGACCCCGAAAAGAUGAAAGCUAAAGUCGACCUUGGCAGAAUUUGAGUUCAGAACAUAAAGACAGACGAAAUGCCGUUAAGCAUUUUUCCGGGCGUGCAUAAUAAUAAUAAUAAUAAUAAUAAUAAUAAUAAUAUGUACAAUGUUUUGUCUUGGUAUAACAGAUGGGAAAACAUUCUGCCCAAUACCACAAAUCUGCUUGUCAGUUGUUUGACCUUAACCAACUGAGUAUGUCCUUUGGUGCUGACAAUAUGUGCAUCUCAGAUCACCUCUGGAAACGUGGGUGUUUCGUUCAACAUCCUUAAAUAACCCUUACUCAAGAACCAUUUGAGCGGGAAGGGCUACUCAACCUGAAGAAAAUUUUAACUGGUCCACAUCUGCAAGGUCAUGUGCUGUAUAUCUUGAUAUGAGAUCACUAUGUCACGCACAUAUGGUUGUGAUGCAUGUACCUGGUGUACCCUUAUCAGACGGUAGUCAUGAUGGGGAUACUGGGCUUCGUAUAUUUUACCCCAGUGUCACUUUGAUGGCAUGCACUGCCCUCUCAAUAAUAAUAAUAAUAAUAAUAGAUAACUAGGACCACAUCAUCUCACUAUGUCCUUCUUU